rnacentral:rRNA from 1 species
UACAGGGGGGGCAAGCGUUGUUCGGAAUUACUGGGCGUAAAGGGUUCGUAGGUGGCCAACUUAGUCAGACGUGAAAUCCCUCAGCUUAACUGGGGAACUGCGUCUGAUACUGGAUGGCUUGAGUGCGGGAGAGGUGAGUGGAAUUCCCAGUGUAGAGGUGAAAUUCGUAGAUAUUGGGAAGAACACCAGUGGCGAAGGCGGCUCACUGGCCCGUAACUGACGCUGAGGUGCGAAAGCGUGGGGAGCAAACAGG